rnacentral:pre_miRNA from 1 species
GGGGGGAGGCUGGAUCCUGGGCUCUGUCCCAGUGCUCCCGGGCCUGCGCUGUUGGGUUCGCGCUCCCGCCACGCAGCCCCCU